rnacentral:rRNA from 1 species
AUUGAACGCUGGCGGCAGGCUUAACACAUGCAAGUCGAGCGGGGAAAGGUAGCUUGCUACCUGACCUAGCGGCGGACGGGUGAGUAAUGCUUAGGAAUCUGCCUAUUCGUGGGGGACAACAUCUCGAAAGGGAUGCUAAUACCGCAUACGUUCUACGGGAUAAAGCAGGGGACCUUCGGGCCUUGCGCUAAUAGAUGAGCCUAAGUCGGAUUAGCUAGUUGGUUGGGUAAAGGCCUACCAAGGCGACGAUCUGUAGCGGGACUGAGAGGAUGAUCCGGCAACAUGGGAACUGAAAACCGCCCAGACCUCUAACGGAGGCAACAGGUGGGGAUAUUGGACAAUUGGGGGAAACCUGAUCCAGGCAAGCCGCGGGGAUGGAGAAGGCCUUUUGGAUGGAAAGAACCUUAAGCGAGGGGAGGACUACCGAGAUUAAUACUCUUGGAUAGUGGACGUUACUCGCAGAAUAAGCACCGGCUAACUCUGUG